rnacentral:rRNA from 1 species
AACCUGCCCUUGGGAGGGGAACAACAGCUGGAAACGGCUGCUAAUACCCCAUAGGCUGAGGAGCAAAAGGAGGAAUCCGCCCAAGGAGGGGCUCGCGUCUGAUUAGUUAGUUGGUGAGGCAAUGGCUUACCAAGGCGACGAUCAGUAGCUGGUCCGAGAGGAUGAUCAGCCACACUGGGACUGAGACACGGUCCAGACUCCUACGGGAGGCAGCAGUGGGGAAUUUUCCGCAAUGGGCGAAAGCCUGACGGAGCAAUGCCGCGUGAAGGCAGAAGGCCCACGGGUUAUGAACUUCUUUUCUCGGAGAAGAAAAAAUGACGGUAUCUGAGGAAUAAGCAUCGGCUAACUCUGUGCCAGCAUUCGCGGUAAGACAGA